AACGAACGCUGGCGGCAGGCUUAACACAUGCAAGUCGAGAGCCCCGCAAGGGGAGCGGCAGACGGGUGAGUAACGCGUGGGAAUCUACCCAUCUCUACGGAAUAACGCAUGGAAACGUGUGCUAAUACCGUAUACGUCCUUCGGGAGAAAGAUUUAUCGGAGAUGGAUGAGCCCGCGUUGGAUUAGCUAGUUGGUGGGGUAAAGGCCUACCAAGGCGACGAUCCAUAGCUGGUCUGAGAGGAUGAUCAGCCACACUGGGACUGAGACACGGCCCAGACUCCUACGGGAGGCAGCAGUGGGGAAUAUUGGACAAUGGGCGCAAGCCUGAUCCAGCCAUGCCGCGUGAGUGAUGAAGGCCCUAGGGUUGUAAAGCUCUUUCACCGGUGAAGAUAAUGACGGUAACCGGAGAAGAAGCCCCGGCUAACUUCGUGCCAGCCGCAGCGGUAACAC
rnacentral:rRNA from 1 species